rnacentral:rRNA from 1 species
GAGUUUGAUCAUGGCUCAGAUUGAACGCUGGCGGCAGGCCUAACACAUGCAAGUCGAGCGGUAGAGAGAAGCUUGCUUCUCUUGAGAGCGGCGGACGGGUGAGUAAUGCCUAGGAAUCUGCCUGGUAGUGGGGGAUAACGCUCGGAAACGGACGCUAAUACCGCAUACGUCCUACGGGAGAAAGCAGGGGACCUUCGGGCCUUGCGCUAUCAGAUGAGCCUAGGUCGGAUUAGCUAGUUGGUGAGGUAACGGCUCACCAAGGCGACGAUCCGUAACUGGUCUGAGAGGAUGAUCAGUCACACUGGAACUGAGACACGGUCCAGACUCCUACGGGAGGCAGCAGUGGGGAAUAUUGGACAAUGGGCGAAAGCCUGAUCCAGCCAUGCCGCGUGUGUGAAGAAGGUCUUCGGAUUGUAAAGCACUUUAAGUUGGGAGGAAGGGCGGUAAAUUAAUACUUUGCUGUUUUGACGUUACCGACAGAAUAAGCACCGGCUAACUCUGUGCCAGCCGCCG